UGGUCCCAUAGAUCCAAUCUAAUGGACCCCAUAGAUCCAACCCCAAAUGGGCCCCAUAGAUCCAACCCCUAUGGGCCCCAUAGAUCCAACCCCAUGGGCCCCAUAGAUCCAAUCUAAUGGACCCCAUAGAUCCAACCCCAAAUGGACCCCAUAGAUCCAAUCUAAUGGACCCCAUAGAUCCAACCCCAAUGAGCCCCAUAGAUCCAACCCCAAAUGGACCCCAUAGAUCCAAUCUAAUGGACCCCAUAGAUCCAACCCCAAAUGGGCCCCAUAGAUCCAACCCAAAUGGGCCCCAUAAGAUCAACCCUAAAUGCGACCCCAUAGAUCCAACCCCAGUGGGCCCAUAGAUCCAACCCCAUGACCCCAUAGAUCCAACCCCAAAUGACCGCCAUAGAUCCAACCCAUAGAUUCCACCCUUAUGGGCCCCAUAGAUGUCCAAUCUAAAUGUGACCCCAUAGAAUCCAACCCCAUAGAUCCAACCCUAUGGGCCCCAUAGAUCCAACCCCAUAGAUCCAACCCUAUGGGCCCCAUAGACACUCACCCCCCCCCCAACCCAUAUAGAUACUCACCCCACAGAUCAGACGCACGGAGCCCUAAAAAUAUUCACCCUACAGACCCCAUAGACCCCAAUAAAGAUGAGCCCCACACACCCCAUAAGUCCCUAUUGAUACCCCCCAGACCCCUCCCACAAACCGCCAUUAGACCCCAAUGACCACUCACUCACCCCCCGACCCCAAUACAAAACACCCCCAUUAACCCCUACUGGACAUAGGGGAUCUAUGGGGCUGAUAGAGAAUCUAUGGGGCUGGUAGGGAAUCUAUGGGGCCUGUAGGGGAUCUGUGGGGCUGGUAAGGGAUCUGAGGGUGAGAUCUAUGGGGCUGGCUGUGGGUUAUGGGGCUGAUAGGGGAUCUAUGGGGCUAGUAGGGGAUAGGGGAUGUAUGGGGCUGGUGAGGGAUCUGAGGAGGGAUCUAUGGGGCAAUGUGUGGGUCAGAUCUAUGGGUCAGAAUAUGGGUCGGAUCUAUGGGGCAGUAUGUGGGUCAGUAUAUGGGUUGGAUCUAUGGGUCAAUAUGUGGGUCAGGUGUAUCUAUGGGGCAGUGUGUGGGUCGGAUCUAUGGGUCAAUAUGUGGGUCAGUAUAUGGGUUGGAUCUAUGGGUCCAGGUGGAUCUAUGGGUCAAUCUAUGGGUCCAGGUGUAUCUAUGGGUCAGAUCUAUGGGUCCAGGUGGAUCUAUGGGUCAAUCUAUGGGUCCGGGUGGGUCUAUGGGGUGAAGUAUGGGUCAGAUCUAUGGGUCAGUGUGUGGGUCCAGGUAUAUCUAUGGGGCAAUCUAUGGGUCUGGGUAUAUCUAUGGGUCCAGGUGGAUCUAUGGGGUGAUGUAUGGGUCAUAUCUAUGGGUCAGUCUAUGGGUCCGGGUGUAUGUAUGGGUCCCUAUGAGAGUCUCGCCGUGGGGCAGGCUGACCCUAUAACCCGCAGCGCCGCUGUGCCCCAUAACAAGCCCAAGAGCGCGUGGAGGAGCCGCAUCCAUCCCUCCAUCCAUCCCUCCAUCCAUUUAGAUGGGGCCGCUGCAAUGUGGACAACGGCCCCGCCCCCUUCUUAAGCCACGCCCCCUUUCCCCGUAGGCUCCGCCCCCUUUGCCUUUAAGCCCCGCCCCCUUCAUUAACCCCUUCUUUAUUAAACCCCUAUCCUUUAAGCCACGCCCCCUUUGCCUUUAAGCCCCGCCCCCUUCAUUAACCCCUUCUUUAUUAAACCCCCUAUCCUUUAAGCCCCGCCCCCUUUUCCUUUAAGCCCCGCCCCUUUCUUCCUUUAAGCCCCACCCCCUUCGUUAAGCCUUGCCUCCUUUUCCUUUAAGCCCCGCCCCAUUCGUCUCUAUGCCCCUCCCCUUCAUUAACCAUCGCUUAACGCCACGCCCCCUUUCCUAAGCCCCGCCCCCAUUGAGCCCUUCUUUAUUUAGCCCCGCCCCCUUUCUCCUUAAGCCCCUCCCCCUUCGCUGAUCCCCUUCAUUAAGCCCCACCUCCUUUUCCUUCAAGCCCCGCCCCCUCAUUGACCACUUCCUUAAGCCACGCCCCUUUCCUUUAACCCCGCCCCUUCAUCAACCCCUUAAGCCCCGCCCCCUCUUAAACCCCGCCCCUUUUAGUCACCCCCCUUCAAGCCCCGCCCCCUUCAUUAACAUAUUGACACCUGCUGCCUUUAAGCCACGCCCUCUUUCCUUUAAGCUCCGCCCACUUCAUCUUUAACCCACCCCCUUUUCCAUUUAAGCCACGCCCCCUUCCUUAAGCUCCUCCCCCCUUAAGCCCCGCCCAUUUCAUUAUCCCCGUGCUUUCUUAAGCCCCUCCCCUUCUUCCUUAAGCCCCGCCCCCUUUCAACUCCCUAAGCCCCGCCCCCUUUCUCACCUGAAGCUCCACCCCCAUUCCUGAGACCACACCCCCCUUUUCCCUUCAACCAAUCAACACCCCCCUUUCUUGCCUUAAACCCCGCCCCCUUUCCUGUGACCACGCCCCCUCUUUGUAGACCACGCCCCCUUUCGUAGCCCCGCCCAUUUUCUUCUUGGCCCCGCCCCCUUUUCCUCCAGCCAAUCAACGCCCCCCAUCUCGCCUUAA
ensembl:lncRNA